rnacentral:rRNA from 1 species
GAUGAACGCUGGCGGCGUGCCUAAUACAUGCAAGUCGAGCGAACAGAUGAGGAGCUUGCUCCUCUGACGUUAGCGGCGGACGGGUGAGUAACACGUGGAUAACCUACCUAUAAGACUGGGAUAACUUCGGGAAACCGGAGCUAAUACCGGAUAAUAUAUUGAACCGCAUGGUUCAAUAGUGAAAGACGGUUUUGCUGUCACUUAUAGAUGGAUCCGCGCCGCAUUAGCUAGUUGGUAAGGUAACGGCUUACCAAGGCAACGAUGCGUAGCCGACCUGAGAGGGUGAUCGGCCACACUGGAACUGAGACACGGUCCAGACUCCUACGGGAGGCAGCAGUAGGGAAUCUUACGCAAUGGGCGAAAGCCUGACGGAGCAACGCCGCGUGAGUGAUGAAGGUCUUCGGAUCGUAAAACUCUGUUAUUGGGGAAGAACAAAUGUGUAAGUAACUAUGCACGUCUUGACGGUACCUAAUCAGAAAGCCACGGCUAACUACGUG